AGUGAACGCUGGCGGUAGGCCUAACACAUGCAAGUCGAACGGCAGCACAGUAAGAGCUUGCUCUUACGGGUGGCGAGUGGCGGACGGGUGAGGAAUACAUCGGAAUCUACUUUUUCGUGGGGGAUAACGUAGGGAAACUUACGCUAAUACCGCAUACGACCUACGGGUGAAAGCAGGGGAUCUUCGGACCUUGCGCGAUUGAAUGAGCCGAUGUCGGAUUAGCUAGUUGGCGGGGUAAAGGCCCACCAAGGCGACGAUCCGUAGCUGGUCUGAGAGGAUGAACCACCACACUUGAACUGGAACACGGUCCAAGCUCCUACGGGAAGGAGCAGUGGGGAAUAUUUGGCAAUGGGCGCAAGCCUGGUCCAGCCAUACCGGGGGGGUGAAGAAGGCCUUCGGGUUGUAAAGGCCUUUUGGUGGGAAAGAAAAGCAGCAGGUUAAUACCCCGCUGUUCUGACGGUACCCAAAGAAUAAGCACCGGCUAACUUCGUG
rnacentral:rRNA from 1 species